ACUCAAAUGAAUAGACGGGGGCUCACACAAGCGGUGGAGCAUGUGGCUUAAUUCGAGGCUACGCGAAGAACCUUAUCCUAGGCUUGACAUGUUCGAAAGAGGUAGGAAGUAGGGGACGGAAACGCACCCCCAACGGUAUCCAGUCCGGAACCUACUACAGGUGCUGCAUGGCUGUCGUCAGCUCGUGUCGUGAGAUGUCGGGUUAAGUCCCAUAACGAGCGCAACCCUUGUUUCCAGUUGCCAGCGGGUCAUGCCGGGGACUCUGGAAAGACUGCCGGUGUCAAACCGGAGGAAGGUGGGGAUGACGUCAAGUCCUCAUGGCCUUUAUGCCUAGGGCCGCACACGUGCUACAAUGGCGUGAACAAAGGGACGCAAACCCGCGAGGGGGAGCUAAUCCCAGAAAACACGCCCCAGUUCAGAUCGUAGGCUGCAACUCGCCUACGUGAAGUUGGAAUCGCUAGUAAUCGCGGGUCAGCUACACCGCGGUGAAUUUGUUCCUGAGCCUUGUACACACCGCCCGU
rnacentral:rRNA from 1 species